rnacentral:rRNA from 1 species
GAUGAACGCUGGCGGCGUGCUUAACACAUGCAAGUCGAACGGAAAGGCCCAAGCUUGCUUGGGUACUCGAGUGGCGAACGGGUGAGUAACACGUGGGUGAUCUGCCCUGCACUUCGGGAUAAGCCUGGGAAACUGGGUCUAAUACCGGAUAGGACCACAUUUUGGAUGGUGUGGUGGAAAGUUUUUCGGUGUGGGAUGAGCUCGCGGCCUAUCAGCUUGUUGGUGGGGUAAUGGCCUACCAAGGCGUCGACGGGUAGCCGGCCUGAGAGGGUGUACGGCCACAUUGGGACUGAGAUACGGCCCAGACUCCUACGGGAGGCAGCAGUGGGGAAUAUUGCACAAUGGGCGCAAGCCUGAUGCAGCGACGCCGCGUGGGGGAUGACGGCCUUCGGGUUGCAAACUCCUUUCGCUAGGGACGAAGCGUUAUGUGACGGUACCUGGAGAAGAAGCACCGGCUAACUACGUG